rnacentral:rRNA from 1 species
CAGUCGCCGCGGUAAUACGAAGGGUGCAAGCGUUAAUCGGAAUUACUGGGCGUAAAGCGUGCGCAGGCGGUUUGUUAAGACAGAUGUGAAAUCCCCGGGCUCAACCUGGGAACUGCAUUUGUGACUGGCAAGCUAGAGUGUGGCAGAGGGGGGUGGAAUUCCGCGUGUAGCAGUGAAAUGCGUAGAUAUGCGGAGGAACACCGAUGGCGAAGGCAGCCCCCUGGGCCAACACUGACGCUCACGCACGAAAGCGUGGGGAGCAAACAGGAUUAGAGACCCCCGUAGUCCCUGUCUCUUAUAC